UUAUGUUAGCAAGUAGAUUAAGACUUAUUUGAAAAACUCUAACCUAAGAUAAACUACAUAAUUAACUAGACUAACAUACUACGAAAAAAAAAACAAAAACAAAAAUACCCUACACCAUUAAGCAAUUCAAUAACACUAAAAAUGAGGGAAAUUAUUAGAAAUAUGAGAAUUUGACAAAAGGAUGUUCUUCUAUUGAGUCAAACCCGCCAAAUAAGAAAUCUUGUUUCCUACCCUAAAAUCAAUUAAAUAUCGUGUUAGAGAACAUAAGGGGUGG
rnacentral:lncRNA from 1 species